AUUGAACGCUGGCGGCAGGCCUAACACAUGCAAGUCGAACGAGUGGCGGACGGGUGAGUAAUGUCUGGGAAACUGCCUGAUGGAGGGGGAUAACUACUGGAAACGGUAGCUAAUACCGCAUACCAUCGGAUGUGCCCAGAUGGGAUUAGCUAGUAGGUGGGGUAAAGGCUCACCUAGGCGACGAUCCCUAGCUGGUCUGAGAGGAUGACCAGCCACACUUGAAAUGAGACAAGGUCAAGACUCCUACGGGAGGCAGCAGUGGGGAAUAGUGCACAGUGGGCGCAAGCCUGAUGCAGACAUGCCGCGUAUAUGAAGAAGGCAUUCGGGUUGUAAAGUACUUUCAGCGGAGAGGCGUUACCCGCAGAAGAAGCACCGGCUAACUCCGUGCCCGCAGCCGCCGUAAUUC
rnacentral:rRNA from 1 species